rnacentral:sRNA from 1 species
UGUGUUUGCUGCACUAAUUCUUGCUACCCCCAUUUUAAAGAGUCUAAACUGAGAGCUGGAGGGAUUGAGUCCCAUGAGGGCACAGCCACACAACCAAUCAAGCUUGAUUCACAAAGAGGACCUCAAACAGAUUUGCUUAUUGACCCAUGAAGACAAUGAGAAUGCUGCCCAGACUUCCAACUAUAGACUUACAGAUAUGGCUGUUGCUGACCUGAGUUAAAUGUGAGCUCCUCCAGUAAUGACUAAGGACUGUUGCAAAGACUGCUACAGCUUCUCCAUUAAGACGUCUAGUGGGAAGAUGACACACUGAAGCAACUGACCCUCCAGUCUGAAAGAGGAGACCUCUGAGGUCACCUUCAUGUGCUUCACCACAAGGCACGGGGCUGUGAUAUGCCGUAACAUUGAAAUCAGAGGCCAUUAGGACAUUUUCCCAGAAGAAAAUGUGUCCCAGAAGAAACAAUGCCACGUGGCUUG